rnacentral:rRNA from 1 species
CAGCGUAUAUUAAAGUUGUUGCAGUUAAAACGCUCGUAGUCGGAUUUCGGGGCGGGCCGACCGGUCUGCCGAUGGGUAUGCACUGGCCGGCGCGUCCUUCCACCCGGAGACCGCGCCUACUCUUAACUGAGCGGGCGCGGGAGACGGGUCUUUUACUUUGAAAAAAUCAGAGUGUUUCAAGCAGGCAGUCGCUCUUGCAUGGAUUAGCAUGGGAUAAUGAAAUAGGACUCUGGUGCUAUUUUGUUGGUUUCGAACACCGGAGUAAUGAUUAACAGGGACAGUCAGGGGCACUCGUAUUCCGCCGAGAGAGGUGAAAUUCUCAGACCAGCGGAAGACGAACCACUGCGAAAGCAUUUG